UACGGAGGGGGCAAGCGUUAUUCGGAAUUAUUGGGCGUAAAGGGCGCGUAGGCGGCUAGAUGUGUCAAAGGUGAAAUCCCUCGGCUCAACUGAGGAACUGCCUUUGAAACUGUCUGGCUUGAGGCCGGGAGAGGGUAGCGGAAUUCCCAGUGUAGCGGUGAAAUGCGUAGAUAUUGGGAGGAACACCUGUGGCGAAAGCGGCGCACUGGACCACAUCUGACGCUGAGGCGCGAAAGCUAGGGGAGCAAACAGG
rnacentral:rRNA from 1 species